rnacentral:rRNA from 1 species
GUGGCGAACGGGUGAGUAACACGUGAGUAACCUGCCCUUGACUCUGGGAUAAGCCUGGGAAACCGGGUCUAAUACCGGAUACGACCUUUCACCGCAUGGUGGUUGGUGGAAAGAUUUUUUGGUUUUGGAUGGACUCGCGGCCUAUCAGCUUGUUGGUGAGGUAAUGGCUCACCAAGGCGACGACGGGUAGCCGGCCUGAGAGGGUGACCGGCCACACUGGGACUGAGACACGGCCCAGACUCCUACGGGAGGCAGCAGUGGGGAAUAUUGCACAAUGGGCGAAAGCCUGAUGCAGCGACGCCGCGUGAGGGAUGACGGCCUUCGGGUUGUAAACCUCUUUCAGCAGGGAAGAAGCGAAAGUGACGGUACCUGCAGAAGAAGCGCCGGCUAACUACGUGCCAGCAGCCGCGGUAAUACGUAGGGCGCAAGCGUUGUCCGGAAUUAUUGGGCGUAAAGAGCUCGUAGGCGGUUUGUCGCGUCUGCUGUGAAAGCCCGGGGCUCAACCCCGGGUCUGCAGUGGGUACGGGCAGACUAGAGUGCAGUAGGGGAGACUGGAAUUCCUGGUGUAGCGGUGAAAU